rnacentral:rRNA from 1 species
UACGAAGGUGGCGAGCGUUGUUCGGAAUCACUGGGCCUAAAGCGCACGUAGGCGGCGACGUAAGUUGGGUGUGAAAUCCCUCGGCCCAACCGAGGAACUGCGCCCAGUACUGCGUUGCUUGAGGAUCCAAGGGGUGCAUGGAAUUCCCGGUGGAGCGGUGAAAUGCGUUGAUAUCGGGAGGAACUCCGGCGGCGAAAGCGGUGCACUGGUGGAUUACUGACGCUGAGGUGCGAAAGCCAGGGGAGCAAACGGG